rnacentral:rRNA from 1 species
GACGAACGCUGGCGGCGUGCCUAACACAUGCAAGUCGAACGGAAAGGCCCUGCUUUUGUGGGGUGCUCGAGUGGCGAACGGGUGAGUAACACGUGAGUAACCUGCCCUUGACUUUGGGAUAACCUCAGGAAACUGGGGCUAAUACCGGAUAGGAGCUCCUGCCGCAUGGUGGGGGUUGGAAAGUUUCGGCGGUUGGGGAUGGACUCGCGGCUUAUCAGCUUGUUGGUGGGGUAGUGGCUUACCAAGGCUUUGACGGGUAGCCGGCCUGAGAGGGUGACCGGCCACAUUGGGACUGAGAUACGGCCCAGACUCCUACGGGAGGCAGCGGUGGAGAAUAUUGCACAAUGGGCGGAAGCCUGAUGCAGCAACGCCGCGUGCGGGAUGACGGGCUUCGGGUUGUAAACCGCUUUCGCCUGUGACGAGGCGUGAGUGACGGUAAUGGGUGAAGAAGCACCGGCUAACUACGUG